rnacentral:SRP_RNA from 1 species
GGGAACAGUGGUACAUACCUGUAAUUCUAGAUAUAAGCCUGGAGGAUCUCUUGACCUCUAGAGUUCUGAGCUGCAGCAGUCUGGGACAAUUUUGUGUCUGCACUAAUUUUGGCAUCAAUAUGGUGAGCCUUAGAAGCUGGGGCCACUAGGUUGCCCGUGGAGAGAUAAACUGGCCCAGGUCGCAAAUAGAACAGGUUAAAGCAUCAGAGUCAAUCACUGGUAGGAUCAGACCCAUGCAUAGCUCCUGUGCUUUAGGUGAGAUAGGGAGACUUAGCCUUA